GGCCCUAUCGUCUAGCUCGGUCUAGGAUAUCGGACUCUCAUUCCGGCGACACGGGUUCAAAUCCCGUUAGGGCUA
rnacentral:tRNA from 1 species